AUGUUUGUUUGUUUUCUUAUAGUUAUAUUCUGCACCAAAAGGUCGACUCGGACCCAAGAAGGUGACAAUACUGUCCCCGGCUCUGUGCCAAAUGAUGUUGAUGAUAUUGAAAAGAGACUUGCUUCUCUUCGACGCAUUUGAUAUGUGAGACAUUGCAUCCAGACGAGGACCAGAAGUCUUUUGUGUAUAGUCUUGUAUCGUCUUUAUAAAUGUUAGUAGGGCUCAGAAUCAUUUAUCUCUUGGCGAUUCGAGUGAUUUUGUGAAGGUUCAAGAGGUAAUUUAAUUAGUUUUUGUCUAAUUGAUCAAUGUUAACUUCUUUUGAUUCUGAGUUCCUAAAUUUAGGGUCUAAUAUUUUAAACGAAGUUUCACUUUGGUGAUUCAGUGUUCUUAAGUUUAGUGUUUGAUAUGUUAAAACGAAGUUUGAUUUUGGUGAUUCAUUGUUCUUUAAUUGAAGGUUACAUAUUUUUAACGAGGUUUAAUUUUGGUGUUUUACUUGAACCACCAUCAACAAGAAUCUUAUGACUUCAAAUCAGGCUUUCGUUUGGUUGUAUCUAGGGUUUGAUUGUCGUUUCCAUGGGUUCAAGGGUUUUUUUGUUUAUUUUUUUAGAGGAUUCAUUUGGAACACAAGUUUGAUUGACUAAUAUGUACAUUUUUAUAUGGUUUGUUUGAAAUUAUGUUGGAUUGACUAAUAUGUAUGCUUGGAUCUACUAUUAACAACAAUCUGGUAAUUCCAUUGCUCCUUAAUCUUACCUUUUUGUUCAGAUUUCUACAAAAAAAUCUUUGAAAUAUUUGGGAUUAUAACAACUUUUUAACAAGCCUAUGCAUCUUUAUAUGUUAGCUUUAAUAUGAGUUAUAAUCACGCUCUUAAUUAUUUUCUAUUUUUUAUUACAAUUAGAGGAGCCAUGUAGGUUAGAGAAAAUUAGGCUAACUUGUCCGAGUAGUACACAUUAGAUUAUUUGACCAUGUAAUGCAUUUAAUGCACCAUUUGAUAUAAGCGAGCAUUCCCACUAGUAUACCCUUAAAUAAAUUACUUUUAAUUAAAAUUGAUUUUUUAAAUCAAGUUAAUAUCUUGAAUGUCUCGUGGCAACAUUGCUUAUUUAAAAUCUUUACAUUAGCAUUCGUGUUACUUUAUCUCUAAGUUGACAAGUAUGGUUUAAAUUAAAUUUGUGAAACCUUCUUACAAAAUCCACCUUUCCUUUUCACACACACACACAUCUAUAUAUAUAAUAAACAAAACCAUUGGGGGAC
rnacentral:lncRNA from 1 species